UUUCCGUAGGUGAACCUGCGGAAGGAUCAUUAUCGUAAAACCGAGGUGCGAGGGCUGUCGCUGACCUUUUCGGUCGUGCACGCCCGAGCGCUCUCACACAAUCCAUCACACCCCUUGUGCACCACCGCGUGGGUCCCUUUCUGGCUCGUCCGGAGGGGGGCUCGCGUUUUCACACAAACUUGAAGUAGUGUAGAAUGUCCUUUUUUUGCGAUAACACGCAAUCAAUACAACUUUCAACAACGGAUCUCUUGGCUCUC
rnacentral:misc_RNA from 1 species